GAUGAACGCUGACAGAAUGCUUAACACAUGCAAGUCAACUUGAACUUCGGUUUGGGUGGCGGACGGGUGAGUAACGCGUAAAGAACUUGCCUCACAGCUAGGGACAACAUUUGGAAACGAAUGCUAAUACCUGAUAUUAUGAUUUUAGGGCAUCCUAGAAUUAUGAAAGCUAUAUGCGCUGUGAGAGAGCUUUGCGUCCCAUUAGCUAGUUGGAGAGGUAACGGCUCACCAAGGCGAUGAUGGGUAGCCGGCCUGAGAGGGUGAACGGCCACAAGGGCACUGAGCGACGGCCAUUACUCCUACUGGAGGCAGCGGUGGAGAACAUUGGACACUGGACCAAGAGUCUGAUCCAGGAAUUCUGUGUGCACGAUGAAGUUUUUCGGAAUGUAAAGUGCUUUCAGUUGAGAAGAAAAAAAUGACGGUACCAACAGAAGAAGCGACGGCUAAAUACGUG
rnacentral:rRNA from 1 species